AUGGGCUCCGUUGAGCGAGCUUCCAAGCGGAAGGCGGCGGCGACUGGUUUUGGUUCUGGCUCAGGUGGUAGCGCCUCUCACCGUUCCAGCGCUUCGGCUGCUCAUCGCAAGAAGGCCAAGGCAGUGGCUGGGCUCCUCGAGCCUCCACUGGCGGCGACCCCGUCGCCGUUGACUAGGGGAAAACUCAAGCUGCUUGCUGAGCUUCUGUUCUUCUUGCUUGGGUUGUGUACUCCCCUUUCCCUCAUGAAGAUUCUGAACUGGAACGUGUGUGGCCUUGGUGAUGAUGAUAAGUGCUCUUUGGUGCGUGAUACUUUAACCUCUUCCUGUCCCAGUAUUGUUUGUCUGCAGGAAACUAAGCUUGCAGCACUCUCCUCGUUCAAGUUGAAAUCCUUUCUGCCUGCUUUUUGCAAUGAUCAUGUGUUUACACCAUCUGAAGGAACUGCUGGGGGCAUUUUGGUUGCCUGGGACACGAGAUGCUUCACUGGGCAAGUUGUUGCAACACACCGGUACCACGUGACUGUCAAACUGGCUUCCACACCGUCAGCAAGUUCUUUCUUGCUUACGGUUGUUUAUGCACCAUGUGUCAUCUCUGAACGGAGUCAGUUCUUUGAGGCUGUUGCUAGCGUUGCUGCUGAAUCUGACAACCCUUGGAUCGUCUUGGGUGACUUCAACAUGUACCGCUUCGCGCAUGAAAAAUCACGAGGCCACAUUAACUGGACUCUUAUGGAGACUUUCAAUGCUUGGAUCCGAGAGCUUGGGAUGGAGGAUAUUCAGGUCGAUAAUAGAUUGUACACUUGGUCCAACAAGAGAUCUUCCCCCAUGAUGGUUAAGCUGGAUCGGGUGCUGGUAAAUGCUGCCUGGGGGUUAUGCUUUGCACAGACAUCUGCCUCUGUUGUGCCUGCUACCACCUCAGACCACAUCCCCAUCGUUAUUCAGUUUUGCACUCAAGCAGUUAAAUGUUGCUUGUUCAGGAUGGAGAACCACUGGAUGCAUAUGGAGGAGACUAGGCGUAUUAUACAAGAUGGCUGGUCCAUGGGCUGCAGAACCAUUCUUUCGCCAGCAUCUCUCAUCAACUUUAAGAUGAGAAGAGAGAGAAGGUCCUUGUCACUAUUAGAAGUGGUACUUCGGGAGUUCGCGUCUGCUAAGGCGGAGCAAUUGAUUUUAUGGCAGGCUGCUAUGUGGAAGCGAAGGGCCAAGCUUAGAUGGUGUGUGUCUGGGGAUGAGAAUUGCAAAUUUUUCCAUGUGGCAGCCAAUAGUCAGGCAUGUCGUAACAAAAUAUGUCACCAAAUAAUAGAAGUCCGGGGCCGGAUGGGUUCACAAAUUGAGUUGUAUAGGGCUUUCAAGCACCUGCUUAAGGAUGAUCUGCUCAAGUUCUUCGGGGAUUUUCAUGCAAAUCAAGUUGCUCUGGAUGGUAUCAACACGGCUUAUAUAACCUUGUUGCCCAAAGUGGACUCGCCGAUGGAGAUGAGGGAUUUCAGGCCUAUAUCUCUGGUGCAUAGCGCCCCUAAACUGGUGUCCAAGGUGUUGACAUGCAGGCUGCAGCGUCGCAUUCCUGGUUUAGUGCAUUCACUGCAGUCCGGGUUUUUGAGAGGAAGAUCCAUUGUGGAGAAUUUUGCUUUGGCGGCGGAAAUGAUCCAGGCAGCGCAUAAAAGGAGGGCACCAGUGGUUGCUUUGAAGUUGGACUUUCGCAAGGCUUUCGAUUCGUGGAUCCAUGCCCUCCUCUCCACUGGACGAUCGAGAGUGCCGAUCAAUGGGGAACCAGGGGAUCCCAUCUUGGCCAAGCAGGGUUUUCGGCAGGGAGACUCCCUGUCGCCCUACCUCUUCAUUCUAGUAGCUGACGUCUUGCAACGCUUGUGCUGUUGGCAUUUCCAGAAUGGUAACUUGUUGCACCCGCUUGGUUCCCAUGGCUUCUUCCCGGUUUUGCAAUACGCAGACGAUACGUUGAUCAUUUUCCGGGGUGAGGUGGAGCAAGCCAGAGUCAUCAAGAAUAUCCUUGCUGCCUUCUCUGCGUUCUCAAGGCUGACUAUCAACUUUCACAAAAGCACUAUGGUUUCUGUCUGUGUGCAACAGGAAGUGGCUGCAGAGAUUGCCAGCAUCCUGGUUUGCCCGGUCUCCUCCUUUCCCUGCACCUACCUGGGGAUGCCCCUCUCUUUGCACAAGAUCAAGCAUGGUAUGUUGCCUCCGGUUAUCCAUAAAGUUGAUCGUCGUCUCUCUGGUUGGCUGGCCACGUUCCUCUCUUGGGGUGGCAGACUCACUCUCGUUAACUCCGUCCUGUCUGGCAUUCCAAGCUACUUCAUGUCUUGUUUCCAGUGGCCAAAGGAGUCCUUACAGAAGUUGGAUGCCUUGCUUAGGGCAUUCUUUUGGCAGGGCAAGAAUACAGUUAAAGGAGGCCAGUGUCUGCUGGCCUGGGACAUGGUUACACUACCUCGGGCAAAUGGCGGUUUGGGGCCUUCCGAUAUACCCUGCUUCAAGUGGUUUGCCUCCCAAUAUUGCAAGGACUUUUUGCCUUUCAAGAGCCAUCACAAAGAUACUGCCAUUUGGAAGGGCCUCAAGAGCUGCAUCCCGUUGGUUGUCUCCUCCUCGCGCUGCUCUAUUGGCAACGGCGCACACGUCUCCUUCUGGCAUGACCCAUGGUUGUUGCCUAGCAGUCUGAAGCAUGCUUUUCCGGUCCUUUUCUCCUUUGCUCGCAAUCCAAGCUGUCUUGUGCAAUCUCAGUUACGGGAGGCGCCUGGAACGUACAGCUCCACCCAAACCUCACUCAGGCUGCAACUCAAGACUUGCAUCUGCUUCAUCAGCUCAUGGAUCUUGUCAACCUGGAUCUAUCAAGCUCGGAUGCACGGUAAGAUCUUGGCUCCUGGCAAUCUUGCUACUCACCACACCAGCAACAGAGUCAGGGGCAACAUCUGCCCAAACGAUCCUAGCUCUACAGCCAAAAGGAGCUGGAGAAAAAAAAGAAUUGUGGAGUCUGUCAGACAACCUCUGAGCCACCCUGCACCAGAGUGUGAAUUUAGGCAGGGAACGAUCCUCUACAGCCGUCGGAUGGCACCCAUCAGGUGUAUCCAGGCCGUUAAUCACGCUCUGGCCCAGAGGAUGCAGCGGUACGAGCCUAUAGAACAGAUCCUGUUCAACGGGAAAACUACUUUCUGCAACUUCCAUUCGGCGACGCUCACGAUCGUCCCCUACGUGGAGCACGGCGAUCCUAGGCACCCGGGCUGGCAAGCCGAAGCGCCGGGCAUGCAAAAAACUGCCAGCCUGAACAUGGUGAUCUUCGUGUGGUACAAAUGGGUGCAGAAUGCAGACAUAAGAGCAAGAUCUCUGGACCUAUCAACUGAAUUUCGUUCACCUGGAUACUCUUGUACCUCGCAGGAACGAUCCUCUAAAACCGUUGGAUGCACCCAUCAGAGGGGAUCCUGGCCGUUAAUCACGCUCUGGCCCAGAGAACAGAUCCUGUUCAUUGAGAAGGAGAAGGUGGAGGAGGCCCUCAAGGAGACUCUUCAAAACUGGCCCAAGUGA
rnacentral:rRNA from 1 species